rnacentral:rRNA from 1 species
UACGUAGGGUGCAAGCGUUGUCCGGAUUUAUUGGGCGUAAAGAGCUCGUAGGCGGCUUGUUGCGUCGGCCGUGAAAACCCGCAGCUCAACUGCGGGCUUGCGGACGAUACGGGCAGGCUAGAGUUCGGUAGGGGAGACUGGAAUUCCUGGUGUAGCGGUGAAAUGCGCAGAUAUCAGGAGGAACACCUGUGGCGAAAGCGGCUCACUGGACCAUAACUGACGCUGAUGCACGAAAGCUAGGGGAGCAAACAGG